rnacentral:rRNA from 1 species
CGUAGGUGGCAAGCGUUGUUCGGAAUUAUUGGGCGUAAAGGGCGCGUAGGCGGUCUUGUAAGUCAGCUGUGAAAGCCCGGGGCUCAACCCCGGAGGGUCGGCUGAUACUGCAGGACUGGAGUACGGAAGAGGUAGCUGGAAUACCCGGUGUAGCGGUGAAAUGCGUAGAUAUCGGGAGGAACACCUGAGGCGAAGGCGGGCUACUGGGCCGAUACUGACGCUGAUGCGCGAAAGCCAGGGGAGCAAACGGGAUUAGAUACCCCGGUAGUCCUGGCCCUAAACGAUGGAUACUUGGUGUGUCGGGUCUUCAAGUCCCGGCGUGCCGGAGCUAACGCGUUAAGUAUCCCGCCUGGGGAGUACGGUCGCAAGGCUG